rnacentral:tRNA from 1 species
UCUCCAGUGGCUCAGUGGUAAAGAAUCUGCCUGCAAUGCAGGAGACCCGGGUUUGAUCCCUGGGUUGGGAA